rnacentral:siRNA from 1 species
AGGUGUCGUUCGUUUGAUCAGUU